rnacentral:rRNA from 1 species
CCUACGGGAGGCAGCAGUGAGGAAUAUUGGUCAAUGGACGAGACUCUGAACCAGCGAAGUCGCGUGAAGGAUGACUGCCCUAUGGGUUGUAAACUUCUUUUAUAAAGGAAUAAAACGAGGCACGUGUGCCUUUUUGCAUGUACUUUAUGAAUAAGGAUCGGCUAACUCCGUGCCAGCAGCCGCGGUAAUACGGAGGAUCCGAGCGUUAUCCGGAUUGAUUGGGUUUAAAGGGAGCGUAGAUGGGUUGUUAAGUCAGUUGUGAAAGUUUGCGGCUCAACCGUAAAAUUGCAAUUGAUACUGGCAGUCUUGAGUACAGUUGAGGUAGGCGGAAUUCGUGGUGUAGCGGUGAAAUGCUUAGAUAUCACGAAGAACCCCGAUUGCGAAGGCAGCUUACUAAACUGUGACUGACAUUGAUGCUCGAAAGUGUGGGUAUCAAACAGGAUUAGAUACCCCUGUAGUC